AAUAUCGAAUAUGGUAAUAAAUUUAAAUUACCCCAAAGGCUAUCAAUCCAGGUAUGGUAAGGCCAUAACUCGGGAAAUAUCGAAUAUGGUAAUAAAUUUCGAUCUGUUUCAUCUCAGCCUCCAGCCCCGAGAGGAGCCGCCGCCGAGAGGAGACGCCCUAGCCCCGAGAGGACCCACCGCCGCCGCCGCCGCCGAGAGGAGACGCCCCAGCCCCGAUAGGAUCCGCCGCCACCGCCGCCGGGGAACGAGGUCGCCGCCGCCUCCCUCGCCCGCGGCCAUGAUGACCGAUCUGGCGUUGGCACCGCAUAUCACCCUCUGGUCCAUGGCCUCGACUAGUUUGCUAUGAUCUGGCGACGGGGAUGCAAGGAGAAGCUGCUGCGGUUUCAAGGGGCCAUGAGGAUGCCCACCAUGAAGGCGUGUCUGGGAUGAUGAAGGUGAUAUCCGCCAGGUCCCCGUUGCCGUCGACUGGCGGCGGCCACCGUCUCCUCUUUCAUGGCAUCGUCGGGGCCUUCCCCUGCCAAGCGUAGCGGCUCCUUGGCUGGAUCACCGUCGCACACCUCACCGGCGUGGUCGGCAAGAUCUGCAUCUCGAUCCUCGCCACUCUCUAUCCUCUUGCAGGUAAUAGGCUUUCCGCCCCCUCUUUUAUCUCCGACGUUCUCGUGUGCACGGAUUGUGAGCGUGAAGGAAUAUUUCUCUUCUAUUUCAUGGUGCUGCUGUGCUCCUUCUGCUUUCACACUGCACAUAUAUAGAUUCUUCAAAGGAAUUGGAUGCUGAUAAUAUCAACUAAGUUCCCUGAAUGUGAUAUAUAUUCUUCCCUCGCUUUGAAUUGAUUGCCCCAAACAAUAUAUCUCUGGUUGACAGUCAUGGCCUAUUAUUAUUGUUGUUAAUUUACAACACUCUUCGCUGUAUUGUCCAAUCAUGGUCCAAACUUCAACUUGGUUGUGGAUUCAUUGUAUGUACCAUAUGCUGUUCAUAGCUACAAAAUUGCAAUCUCGCGAAAAUGUUCUUGAAUACAGUAAUUUUUUUGUCACAUAACCCAUAUGCUGAUGAUAAAGUUUGUUGUAUGAGCUUGUGGCAUACUGAUCAGACAGGUGGCAGGUAUGCAUUCAGAUGUUGCAGCUCUAAGGAAGGGUAGUAUAUGGCACAUGGCUUCGUGGGUUGUUCAACAAGAAGUGUUUUGGGCAUAUUCGACAGGCAAUCUUGUGAAAAUUAUAGAUCGAUUUUCUUAUUCCGUCAUCAGCUUCUAUUGAUAUGAGCGAUACAAAAAGUUCAGCACUGAAUUUUAGUAUGUUAACUUGCAAGAUUUCUCACGACUAUGUUUUUUUGUUAUAGGUUUAUAAAUUUCGAAAUAUAGUUGCAGCUUCACGGAAUGGACGGCCCAAAUUAUGUUAGUGUCUAUAUGUUUACUUGGUGGUGGUCUAGCGUGAGUGACACCUGCAUCUGUAACUUACCCAUUGGAUGUUCUUCGAAAUCACCUGACAACACAGAAAACCACUAGGUAUUACAAGGGCAUCUUUCACACGUUGUCUACAAUUUGUAGAGAAGAGAAUAGUAGAGGAUUGUAUAAAGGCCUUUGGUCCACCUUAUUGGGAGUUGGACCUGAUAUAUCAAUCAAUGUUUAUGUAUAUGAAUCCCUGAGGUCUCAUCGGAAAAUGGAAAGUUGAAUGUCAAACUGUGCGACCAAUGAUUUGGUUAAUUCCAGUUGGGUGUGUUAACCUACAGUAAUCAAUCAAGUCAACAAAUAUAACAAUGAUACUUUGUCUUCUGAUUUUUGGUGAUGAUUUUUUUUGUGACUGAACUAACAGGAGUUGAAGCAUGUGUUCUUUUUUUUAUAUGACUAGAUGCAUAUGAACUGAAGCUCCAUAACUUUCUUUUCAAGUCGACAUUGGUGGCAACCAAUACAAUUAGCGUUAUUUACAACCAAUGAAGUCUUAUAAUUUUCUUUCUUAGAAAUAUACAGUGACGCUGACUAUCAUUUAGUAGCUCUACAGGCACUAGCUAAAAACAAUAAUGUUUAUUUAUUUAACCACCAAAUAGAACAAUAGGUUAUUCUGCAUUGUGGGUACACAAAUCACAACACUAUAUUUCAGCUGUAGAAAUCUAUGUGGAUGCCUGCUGAUAUUUUAAGCCUACAUAUUGCCGAUUUGGUUUGAGUAAUGCUUGAAGCAUAAUUUACUUCCUAAUGUGCAAAUAGCAGUAUCAUUUUUUGUCAAGAAACUGAGAAGACGGAAGAGAGUUGGUGUUGUCAGUGUGGUGAGCCUAUGCGGCAACCACAAGGCUGAAGUCUGCUUUGAUCGUUAUUCAAGAUUUGAGCCUUGGCUCCGGUUUUGAUAGCUCUAUAUCAACUUUCAGCGAGUUUUUGUUCUCGGACUUGGGAUCCACAGUCCAAAGUUGAUUGGUGGAUCAAGUGAACUUGGUGCAUCUCCAUUCAAGCUAGAGUACAAUUACCGGCCUGCUUGUUUAGCGCAGUCUCCACAAUCAUACAAGCAAAUGAGCAGCUGGCGACCCAACACACAAAGUUUCUAUCUUCUUAUUUUCUAUACAAGUAGCAGCUGGCGCAGCGGUGGUGUUGAUGAACGACACCCAAUGCAGAGGCGACAGUUACCAUAGGGAAGAGGUCAAGAACAUCUAGCUCUUGUGGUGUUCCUCCUCAUUAUUGUCAUCGCCAUCAACAGCAACAAUGACGACCGGCUCAUGAGACAGCUACUAGAGAGGGAGCGAGGAAGGGGGAGACAAAUCUUUCAGGUACAAUGGUAUGACAACCAUGUUCUGAACUAUCAAUGAGAUUUGGUGCUAAGUCAGCAUCGUGUUUUAUCCAAUCUAUCAAACACCAUAAGUUUCAUGUCGAAUGUGUUGUAGAAAUGUUCUUCCAUAAAUAUGGUUUUAGUCCUUCAUAUUUUAGUAUCGUUGUAAAUUUAUCCAUUCACAUAUCACUCUGAGAAACAUUUUUAAUUGGGGGAAGGAAGAAUGGGAGAAAAGAAGAGUGCUUUGACGUAAAAAAAGAAGUCGUCAAUACAACCUGUUGCAACACACGGCGUUCUACUAGGAGAUGCAAGUGGAGUGGAAUAAUGAAAAUACAUUGCAUCAAAUACAUUUUUUGAUUGUUACUGUAAUUUUUUUCUAUACAUGUGAAAUUGGAACCAUAGGAGCAAUACUUGGACCAUAGGAGCAAUACAUGCUCACUGUUGAAUAGGAGCAUAGGAGCAAUUCAUAGGAGCAUAGGAGCAUAGGAGAAAUUGGAACCAUAGGAGCAAUACAUGCUCACUGUUGAAUAAUUUGUAUAUAACUGUUUAUGCAAUACUUGGACCAUAGGAGCAAUUCAUUCUGUAUAUUUUGCUGGGGAUUGUGCCUUGCAGUCAAUUUAUAGAAGGGUAAGAUGUAUCGCAAUAUCUUUGACUUGCAUUCUCUGUGAUGUCAAGUAAGAAAAUAGAAUAUAUACUCUUUGAAUUA